rnacentral:sRNA from 2 species
CGAAUAUCACCGCUUAAUCACCCGCGAGGGUGAGCCGGGGAACCACUUUGUUCGGCACAGUCCGAUUGGGGUGAGUCGCGGCGCGACGACAAGGUCGGCGCGGCGCGUAGGGCGAUCUUCCAGCCCGAACCCGACAGCUAACUCGGUAGGCGGUAGGGAGAACAAAG